rnacentral:rRNA from 1 species
UGUGUGUUAGUGGAAGCGUCUGGAAAGGCGCGCGAUACAGGGUGACAGCCCCGUACACAAAAAUGCACAUGCUGUGAGCUCGAUGAGUAGGGCGGGACACGUGGUAUCCUGUCUGAAUAUGGGGGGACCAUCCUCCAAGGCUAAAUACUCCUGACUGACCGAUAGUGAACCAGUACCGUGAGGGAAAGGCGAAAAGAACCCCGGCGAGGGGAGUGAAAAAGAACCUGAAACCGUGUACGUACAAGCAGUGGGAGCACAGAGCAAUCUGUGUGACUGCGUACCUUUUGUAUAAUGGGUCAGCGACUUAUAUUCUGUAGCAAGGUUAACCGAAUAGGGGAGCCGAAGGGAAACCGAGUCUUAACUGGGCGUUAAGUUGCAGGGUAUAGACCCGAAACCCGGUGAUCUAGCCAUGGGCAGGUUGAAGGUUGGGUAACACUAACUGGAGGACCGAACCGACUAAUGUUGAAAAAUUAGCGGAUGACUUGUGGCUGGGGGUGAAAGGCCAAUCAAACCGGGAGAUAGCUGGUUCUCCCCGAAAGCUAUUUAGGUAGCGCCUCGUGAAUUCAUCUCCGGGGGUAGAGCACUGUUUCGGCAAGGGGGUCAUCCCGACUUACCAACCCGAUGCAAACUGCGAAUACCGGAGAAUGUUAUCACGGGAGACACACGGCGGGUGCUAACGUCCGUCGUGAAGAGGGAAACAACCCAGACCGCCAGCUAAGGUCCCAAAGUCAUGGUUAAGUGGGAAACGAUGUGGGAAGGCCCAGACAGCCAGGAUGUUGGCUUAGAAGCAGCCAUCAUUUAAAGAAAGCGUAAUAGCUCACUGGUCGAGUCGGCCUGCGCGGAAGAUGUAACGGGGCUAAACCAUGCACCGAAGCUGCGGCAGCGACGCUGAUGCGUUGUUGGGUAGGGGAGCGUUCUGUAAGCCUGUGAAGGUGUGCUGUGAGGCAUGCUGGAGGUAUCAGAAGUGCGAAUGCUGACAUAAGUAACGAUAAAGCGGGUGAAAAGCCCGCUCGCCGGAAGACCAAGGGUUCCUGUCCAACGUUAAUCGGGGCAGGGUGAGUCGACCCCUAAGGCGAGGCCGAAAGGCGUAGUCGAUGGGAAACAGGUUAAUAUUCCUGUACUUGGUGUUACUGCGAAGGGGGGACGGAGAAGGCUAUGUUGGCCGGGCGACGGUUGUCCCGGUUUAAGCGUGUAGGCUGGUUUUCCAGGCAAAUCCGGAAAAUCAAGGCUGAGGCGUGAUGACGAGGCACUACGGUGCUGAAGCAACAAAUGCCCUGCUUCCAGGAAAAGCCUCUAAGCAUCAGGUAACAUCAAAUCGUACCCCAAACCGACACAGGUGGUCAGGUAGAGAAUACCAAGGCGCUUGAGAGAACUCGGGUGAAGGAACUAGGCAAAAUGGUGCCGUAACUUCGGGAGAAGGCACGCUGAUAUGUAGGUGAGGUCCCUCGCGGAUGGAGCUGAAAUCAGUCGAAGAUACCAGCUGGCUGCAACUGUUUAUUAAAAACACAGCACUGUGCAAACACGAAAGUGGACGUAUACGGUGUGACGCCUGCCCGGUGCCGGAAGGUUAAUUGAUGGGGUCAGCGCAAGCGAAGCUCUUGAUCGAAGCCCCGGUAAACGGCGGCCGUAACUAUAACGGUCCUAAGGUAGCGAAAUUCCUUGUCGGGUAAGUUCCGACCUGCACGAAUGGCGUAAUGAUGGCCAGGCUGUCUCCACCCGAGACUCAGUGAAAUUGAACUCGCUGUGAAGAUGCAGUGUACCCGCGGCAAGACGGAAAGACCCCGUGAACCUUUACUAUAGCUUGACACUGAACAUUGAGCCUUGAUGUGUAGGAUAGGUGGGAGGCUUUGAAGUGUGGACGCCAGUCUGCAUGGAGCCGGCCUUGAAAUACCACCCUUUAAUGUUUGAUGUUCUAACGUUGGCCCCUGAUCGGGGUUGCGGACAGUGUCUGGUGGGUAGUUUGACUGGGGCGGUCUCCUCCUAAAGAGUAACGGAGGAGCACGAAGGUUGGCUAAUCCUGGUCGGACAUCAGGAGGUUAGUGCAAUGGCAUAAGCCAGCUUGACUGCGAGCGUGACGGCGCGAGCAGGUGCGAAAGCAGGUCAUAGUGAUCCGGUGGUUCUGAAUGGAAGGGCCAUCGCUCAACGGAUAAAAGGUACUCCGGGGAUAACAGGCUGAUACCGCCCAAGAGUUCAUAUCGACGGCGGUGUUUGGCACCUCGAUGUCGGCUCAUCACAUCCUGGGGCUGAAGUAGGUCCCAAGGGUAUGGCUGUUCGCCAUUUAAAGUGGUACGCGAGCUGGGUUUAGAACGUCGUGAGACAGUUCGGUCCCUAUCUGCCGUGGGCGCUGGAGAACUGAGGGGGGCUGCUCCUAGUACGAGAGGACCGGAGUGGACGCAUCACUGGUGUUCGGGUUGUCAUGCCAAUGGCACUGCCCGGUAGCUAAAUGCGGAAGAGAUAAGUGCUGAAAGCAUCUAAGCACGAAACUUGCCCCGAGAUGAGUUCUCCCUGACUCCUUGAGAGUCCUGAAGGAACGUUGAAGACGACGACGUUGAUAGGCCGGGUGUGUAAGCGCAGCGAUGCGUUGAGCUAACCGGUACUAAUGAACCGUGAGGCUUAACCUUACAACGCCGAAGCUGUU